GCAGUAGUGAAGGAAUAUUUACCAGAAAAUAGGUUUUUCAGUUUGAGAAAAUGUCGCAAGCCAGAGAGCAGUUUGGACUAGUCCCAAGGAGCAAAGUUCCUCAUUGCCUGGAUGGAGACUGAGAAAAGACGAUUUUUUCUUGUGUUUCUGGGCAUUACUCCCAGACUCCCCUAAUUUUUGAAAUCGAGCUUCUGGGAACACUAAGUGCACACAUGUCUCCCCAAUCCCCAACACUCAUGUGCACACACCCAUUCCAUGGAACUCAACCACACCCAGCCUUGUGAGCAAAAUCUGAAAGUGGGAGGCGACACGGAGAAAUGCGCAGUAGAACCACAUCAGAACAGUUUUUAGUAUGGGUUUUGUGCCACUGAAAAACAGCGCAGGAGAGCUGUCCUUACAAGAGAGAUGCUGGAGAUAUUUCUGGUGCAUUGAUUUGGAAAUCAUCAAGUAGAAUCCUAAAUGCCAAGGCCUGAAAACCUGUCUCCACUGUUCUUUCCUUCCCUUUUAAGGCUGGCAGAACUGCAAGCUGGGAUAACACCAAGGUUGCAAUUGAUAGAAGAAUCAAAUUUCCUUGGAGAAGACAAAAUGUAUAUGAAGUGCCUCCUGCAGAGCCAGGGAUGUCAUAGGUGCUCAGUAAAUAGUAAGUCUUAUUUUUUAAAAAAUACAUUUCCUUUUUUCUUUCUCUCUUUCUUUCUUUUCUCUUUCUUUCUUUCUCUCUCUCUCUUUCUUUCUCUCUCUCUCUCUCUUUCUUUCUUUCCUGCCUUCCUUCUCUCCUUCCCUCCUUCUUUCUUUCUCUCUCUGUUUCUCUUUCUUUCUUGAGGAAUAUUGACACUGGGCUAAUAUCUGUUGCCAAUCUUUCUCUCUUUUUUUUUUUCUCCCCAAAGCCCCAGUACAUAGUUGUAUAUCCUAGUUUUAAUUCCUUCUAGUUCUUCUAUGUGGGAUACCGCCAUAGCAUGGUUUGGUGAGUGGUGUGUAGGUCUGCGUCCAGGAUCCAAACUGGCAAACCCUGGGCUGCCGAAGUGGAGAACAUGAACUUAACCAGCCAACGGGCCAUCCCUGUAAGUCUUAUUUUUAUACAAAUGUUCAACUUUUUCUAGAUCAGUGGCUUCCAGGUAUUUGAAGUGUGCAAGACUUUAGUUCUCAGCUACUUAUUAUUGGCCCCAGAUCACCCCAGGACCCCUAUUUUUGGACAUUUUGGUUCUCCACCUUGAUUACUAUUUCCUCUCUGUGAUUCUUUGAUCCAUAAUUCAAUUUUGUACUUAUUACUUUACCACUAAACCAAAUCAACCCUUGUGCUCAUGAUUCCUGGCUUCUGCUGUCACCUCAUAACCGAUGCACAUUCAUACAAGACAACUCACAGCAUGCUUUUCCUUAGUUUCAUGGAACCAUCCCUGACCUGAUCGGCCCCCAGUUAGCCACUAACUUAAUGUGAAGUACAUUUGACCUUAGAUGUUUCUUUGAAGAGAGCAGGAUAUUAUCUUAUAAAGAGAAGAAAGGAGAGGAAGACUUUACUAUCAAUGUGAUGGUUCCCAACUCUUUACACCCUCCCUUGUGAUGAAAUAAUGCAUCAAAGCAUUCUACCUUGUGACUUUACAGCACUUUCCACCAGAGCUGGUAGAACAUCUUUCCCCACUUCAUUGAUAUUGGACUUGGCCAACGAGCCUGCUUUGGCCACUGACAUAUUAGCAGUUAUGACACUGGCAGAUGCUUUAAAUGAGUUCCUGUGAUUAGACUCAGCCUCUUGCACUUUUAGGCCCUGCACAAUAGAAUGAGCAUCCAGGAAUCUUCUGGCUGAAAAGGGAUGAAGAUGCAACAUGGA
rnacentral:lncRNA from 1 species